rnacentral:rRNA from 1 species
CAGCAGCAGCCACGGGAAUACGGAGGGUGCAAGCGUUAAUCGGAAUUACUGGGCGUAAAGCGCACGCAGGCGGUCUGACAAGUCAGAUGUGAAAUCCCCGGGCUUAACCUGGGAACUGCAUUUGAAACUGUCAGGCUGGAGUCUUGUAGAGGGGGGUGGAAUUCCAGGUGUAGCGGUGAAAUGCGUAGAGAUCUGGAGGAAUACCGGUGGCGAAGGCGGCCCCCUGGACAAAGACUGACGCUCAGGUGCGAAAGCGUGGGGAGCAAACGGGAUUAGAUACCCCAGUAGUCCCUGUCUCUUAUAC